rnacentral:rRNA from 1 species
AUUGAACGCUGGCGGCAGGCCUAACACAUGCAAGUCGAACGAGUGGCGGACGGGUGAGUACUGUCUGGGAAACUGCCCGAUGGAGGGGGAUAACUACUGGAAACGGUAGCUAAUCCCGCAUAUCAUCGGCUGUGCCCAGAUGGGUUUAGCUAGUAGGUGGGGUAACGGCUCACCUAGGCGAUGAUCCCUAGCUGGUCUGAGAGGUUGACCAGCCACACUGGAACUGAGACACGGUCCAGACACCUACGGGAGGCAGCAGUGGGGAAUAUUGCACAAUGGACGCAAGCCUGAUGCAGCCAGGCCGCGUGUAUGAAGAAAGCCUUCGGGUUGUAAAGUACUUUCAGCGAGGAGGCGUUACUCGCAGAAGAAGCACCGGCUAACUCCGUGCCAGCAGCCGCGGUAAUAC